AAGACUAUACUUUCAGGGAUCAUUUCUAUAGUUUGCGACUAGAGAAGUUUCUCUGAAUGUGUAGAGCACCCGAAGCCACGAGGAGGAGGCGCAGCGUCCUCUCCUGAGCGGGAAGUCGGUUGUUAGUGUUGCUCUUUGCAACUGCUAAAGCCAUUGAUGAUCGUUCCUAACCCUGCUAUGGGUCGGGAGGGAGAGGACGCAGUCUGAGUGGU